UACGGGGGGGGCAAGCGUUGUUCGGAAUUACUGGGCGUAAAGGGCGCGUAGGCGGUUGGAUAAGUCAGCUGUGAAAACCACGGGCUUAACUCGUGGCCUGCAGUUGAGACUGUCUGGCUUGAGUGUGGGAGAUGAGAGUGGAAUUCCUGGUGUAGCGGUGAAAUGCGUAGAUAUCAGGAGGAACACCGGUGGCGAAGGCGGCUCUCUGAACCACAACUGACGCUGAGGCGCGAAAGCUAGGGGAGCAAACAGG
rnacentral:rRNA from 1 species